rnacentral:rRNA from 1 species
CAGUAGCCGCGGUAAUACGAAGGGGGCUAGCGUUGCUCGGAAUCACUGGGCGUAAAGGGUGCGUAGGCGGGUCUUUAAGUCAGGGGUGAAAUCCUGGAGCUCAACUCCAGAACUGCCUUUGAUACUGAAGAUCUUGAGUUCGGGAGAGGUGAGUGGAACUGCGAGUGUAGAGGUGAAAUUCGUAGAUAUUCGGAGGAACACCAGUGGCGAAGGCGGCUCACUGGUCCAUUACUGACGCUGAGGUGCGAAAGCGUGGGGAGCAAACAGGAUUAGAUACCCCAGUAGUCCCUGUCUCUUAUAC